AGAGUUUGAUCCUGGCUCAGGAUGAACGCUGGCGGCGUGCUUAACACAUGCAAGUCGAACGAAGCACUUAAGUUUGAUUCUUCGGAUGAAGACUUUUGUGACUGAGUGGCGGACGGGUGAGUAACGCGUGGGUAACCUGCCUCAUACAGGGGGAUAACAGUUAGAAAUGGCUGCUAAUACCGCAUAAGACCACAGCGCCGCAUGGUGCAGGGGUAAAAACUCCGGUGGUAUGAGAUGGACCCGCGUCUGAUUAGCUAGUUGGUGGGGUAACGGCCUACCAAGGCGACGAUCAGUAGCCGACCUGAGAGGGUGACCGGCCACAUUGGGACUGAGACACCGCCCAAACUCCUACGGGAGGCAGCAGUGGGGAAUAUUGCACAAUGGGGGAAAACCCUGAUGCAGCGACGCCGCGUAAAGGNGGACGGUUUUCGGAUUGUAACUUUCUGUUCCUAGUGAAGAAUAAUGACGGUAGCUAGGAGCCAAGCCACGGGCUAACUACGUGCCAGCAGCCGCGGUAAUACGUAGGUGGCAAGCGUUGUCCGGAAUUACUGGGUGUAAAGGGAGCGUAGGCGGGAUGCCAAGUCAGCUGUGAAAACUAUGGGCUUAACCCGUAGACUGCAGUUGAAACUGGUAUUCUUGAGUGAAGUAGAGGUUGGCGGAAUUCCGAGUGUAGCGGUGAAAUGCGUAGAUAUUCGGAGGAACACCGGUGGCGAAGGCGGCCAACUGGGCUUUAACUGACGCUGAGGCUCGAAAGUGUGGGAGCAAACAGGAUUAGAUACCCUGGUAGUCCACACUGUAAACGAU
rnacentral:rRNA from 1 species